rnacentral:rRNA from 1 species
AUGCUCGCCGCUGCGGGCCGUCUAACUCUCACGAGAUCAGUGCUCAUGGCCUUGCCUAUCCACCUGAUGGCUGUGCUUCCUUUGCCGACGUGGGCCAUAAAAAUCAUUAACAGGCGCUGCCGGGGUUUUGUUUGGAAGGGUGAGGAGGAGAUCAAUGGGGGCCAUUGUCUCAUGCCUUGGUCAAGAGUUUGUUUACCUUUGGAGGCUGGAGGGCUCGGCAUUAUUAAUCUCAAGUGGUUCGGCUUGGCACUCAGAUGCAAAUGGCCGUGGUUACAAUGGGACGCAAAGGAGAGACCGUGGCAACAUACCCCUGAUUCCACAGAGAAGGACGUUCAGGCCAUGUUCAAUGCGGCCUGCUGCAUCAGUCUGGGUGACGGUGAACCCGCGCGGUUUUGGACUGACAACUGGCUCCCGGAUGGCCGUUCUAUUGCUGCUAUGGCUCCAGCAUUGUUCUCCUUUGUUAGGGACAAAGGGAGAUCGGUGAGAGAGGCUUUGCAAGGCCAGACCUGGAUCAGAGAUAUCUCAGGAGGUUUAACUCUUAUAGCCAUGGCCCAAUACCUGCGGGUUUGGGAGAAUGUCCAGGACACAUCGCUGACUAUGGGAACCAGAGACCGGGCGAUCUGGAAAUUGUCGCACGAUCAACAGUUCUCUGUUAAGAGUGCUUAUCACUUGUUCUUCCUCGGGAACACUAGCUUUGCUUGCUACAAGCCGAUCUGGAAAUCCAAGGCGCCACCGCGUUGCAAGUUUUUCAUGUGGCUGGCUGUCCACCGUAGAUGUCUGACAGCUGACAACCUGGAGCGGAGGAACUGGCCAUCCAAUGGCAUCUGUCCUCUUUGCGCUUCUGAGCCUGAGUCCUACUCACAUCUCUUUGUGCACUGCAAUUUCACCAAGCUAGUCUGGCUUCGUUUUAAGGCACGGACGAGGGCUGAUUUCCUGAUCCCUGAUGUUACCUUCAACUCUACAGAAGAGUGGUGGUUGAAGGCAAGGGCGACGAUCCCGAAGCCAAUGCGGAGGAACUUCGACACGAUUGUCAUUCUUCUUCACUGGAGGAUUUGGAAGGAAAGGAACGCGAGGAUCUUUGAUAAUGUGGCAAGUUCUGCUGACAAGAUUCGGGACCUGAUCCUGAAGGAUAUCGGCGUCUGGAGGGCCGCGGGUUGUAUUAGCGAUUUGGUGGCAUGA